AACUGCCAUUCUUUUGCACGCAUUUUGCCUUGUGAGUGGAAGAAAUCAUGAAGUCCUUUCUCAUUCUUUUCGCCGUCAUUUGCUCCCGCAGCGCAGCGAUUUGGAGCGAAAACGGCCGCAUUAUUGAAGGUGAACUAGCCACGGCUGGUCAGUUCCCUUACGUAGUUUCCAUUACAGAAAACGAUCGUCACAUCUGUGGUGGAUUUAUCUACAGCAAACAAUGGAUUGUUACGGCAGCUUCUUGUGUUGAAGGAAAAAAAAGCAAGCAAAUUGAAAGUUGUGGCCGGUCAAGUGAGUGCCGUCUCUCCUGAUCCUUACGAACAAAUACUGACCGUCUACACCAUAUUCUCUUAUCCGGAAUAUAACAGCACCACCAGGCUGAACGAUGUCGCUCUCCUUAAGGUCCAUUCAAAUUUCAACUUCAUUUUUUUAUUAAAACGCAAUUCGUUCAUGUUCUGCAG